UGGGGAAUAUUGCACAAUGGGCGCAAGCCUGAUGCAGCAAUGCCGCGUGUGUGAAGAAGGCCUGCGGGUUGUAAAGCACUUUCAGUAGGGAGGAAACUGUAACGGAAUAAUACCCGUUACCCUGACGUUACCUACAGAAGAAGCACCGGCUAACUCUGUG
rnacentral:rRNA from 1 species